UUAUGGCUAUAUCACAUUGGCAACACUGAUGCUCAUCUGAUCACCAAAAUUAAGCAAUGUUAAACCUGGUCAGUACCUAGAUGGGUGACUACUGGGAAUACCAGGUGCUGUAAG